rnacentral:rRNA from 1 species
CAAUAGCGUAUAUUAAAGUUGUUGCGGUUAAAAAGCUCGUAGUUGAACUUCAGACCUGGCCGGGCGGUCUGCCUAACGGUAUGUACUGUCUGGCUGGGUCUUACCUCUUGGUGAGCCGGCAUGCCCUUCACUGGGUGUGUCGGGGAACCAGGACUUUUACCUUGAGAAAAUUAGAGUGUUCAAAGCAGGCCUAUGCCCGAAUACAUUAGCAUGGAAUAAUAAAAUAGGACGUGCGGUUCUAUUUUGUUGGUUUCUAGAGUCGCCGUAAUGAUUAAUAGGGAUAGUUGGGGGCAUUAGUAUUCAGUUGCUAGAGGUGAAAUUCUUGGAUUUACUGAAGACUAACUACUGCGAAAGCAUUUGCCAAGGAUGUUUUCAUUAA